GCUCAAAGCAAAGGUGCAAGUUAUUCUGGCUUGCUGAUUUUUGGUAUGUAAGGCUGGACCCACUUGCUGCGACUUUGGAAGCCUCACCUACGGAUGGACACACCGCGUAGGACUUCCCACUUUCAGGGAAAGGGACUCCAAGUCCUCGCUGCAACCGGGGCUCCCCAGUGACUGCGGAUCUGGAUGUUGGUAACAUAUGCAAGUGGUGAUGGAUCUUUCUUAAUCACUACUCUCUCCAUCAUGUAGUGAUGAAUUGAUGCAUUUCCCUGU